CCCUACGGGGUGCAGCAGGCGCGAAACCUUUACAAUGCACGAAAGUGUGAUAAGGGAAUCCUAAGUGCUCAUGCUUAGCAUGGGCUUUUGUUAAGGGUAAAUACCUUGGCGAAUAAGCGGUGGGCAAGACUGGUGCCAGCAGCCGCGGUAACACCAGCGCCGCAAGUGGGGAUCUUUUUUAUUGGGCCUAAAGCGUCCGUAGCUGAUUUAGUAAAUCUUUUGUGAAAUCGUUAGGCUCAACCUAACGGCAUGCAGAAGACACUGCUUUACUUGAGACCGGGAGAGGUAAGGAGUAUUUUGGGGGAACCGGUAAAAUGGGAUAAUCCUCGAAAGACUACCUGUGGCGAAGGCGCCUUACCAGAACGGAUCUGACAGUGAGGGACGAAGGCUAGGGGAGCAAACCGGAUUAGAUACCCGAGUAGUCCUAGCAGUAAACGCUGCGAGCAAGGCGUUGCGUAUUCGUUAAGAAUAUGCAGUGUCGUAACGAAGGUGUUAAGCUCGCCGCCUGGGAAGUAUGGUCGCAAGACUGAAACUUAAAGGAAUUGGCAAGGGAGCAC
rnacentral:rRNA from 1 species